rnacentral:rRNA from 1 species
GACGAACGCUGGCGGCGUGCUUAACACAUGCAAGUCGAACGGAAAGGCCCCUUUGUGGUUGCUCGAGUGGCGAACGGGUGGGUAACACGUAAGUAACCUGCCUUUGACUUCGGGAUAGCUUCAGUAAACUAGGUCGAAUACCUGCUAGGAAUCCUUUCUUCAUGGUGGGUGUUGGAUAGCUUCGGCGGUUUUGGAUGGACUCACGGCCUAUCAGCUUGUUGGUGGGGUAGUGGUUUACCAAGGCGUUGACGGGUAGCCGGCCGGAGAGGGCGACCGGCCACAUUGGGACGGAGAUACGGCCCAGACUCCUACGGGAGGCAGCAGUGGGGAAUAUUGCACAAUGGGCGGAAGCCUGAUGCAGCAACGCCGCGGGCGGGAUGACGGCCUUCGGGUUGUAAAACGCUUUCAGCAGGGGCGAAGCUUGUGGUGACGGUACCUGCAGAAGAAGCACCGGCUAACUACGUG